CCUACGGGUGGCAGCAGUGAGGAAUAUUGGUCAAUGGACGGAAGUCUGAACCAGCCAUGCCGCGUGCAGGAAGACGGCUCUAUGAGUUGUAAACUGCUUUUGUACAAGGGUAAACCUUAAUACGUGUAUUCUGCUGAAAGUACUUUACGAAUAAGGAUCGGCUAACCCCGUGCCAGCCGCCGCGGUAAUAUGGAGGAUCCAAGCGUUAACCGGAUUUAUUGGGUUUAAAGGGUGCGUAGGCGGGUGGAUCAGUUGGAGGUGAAAUGUCCGCGCUUAACUCGGGAACUGCCUUGGAUACUGUUGGGCUAGAGAGUGGAUGCGGUAGGCAGAAUGUAUGGUGUAGCGGUGAAAUGCGUAGAGAUC
rnacentral:rRNA from 1 species